rnacentral:tRNA from 1 species
GAUCAGUAGCGUAGUGGUAGGGUGCAGGGUUUUGGCGCAGGUGGUCGUGGGUUCGAGUCCCACAGGCG